rnacentral:sRNA from 1 species
CAUACCCAUACUCACAUACACAUGCCCAUAUACACAUACUACUCCAUAGAAUACUAAAUUUACCUUGACUGUAUAUGAAACAGGGUACUUUGAGGUGAGGGUAUUAGGCUCUCUGACCUCAUCUGAGAAACUACAGUUUUUGUACUGCCCAGGGAGGAAAUUUAUGGCUCUGAGAAGUCGUGUUAGUCUGAUUAAUAGUAAUAGCUUCAGCAACUGAGUACUUGUUUGUCCAUACUUUGUACACCUUCUGUUGCUUGUCCUUACAACAGUCUGUGAAGGUAGAUAGUGUGAAGGACACAUUCCCAAGCCAUUAUCAAUUUCCUCCUCUCAUUCUUAGGUAAAGACUGCCCUUGUAAUUAGGGGUGACCAUAAAACCCAGAUCUAGACAUGUAUGGAAGAGUUACAGGUAAGACACCAGCUUCCUGUGAGAAGGAACAGUGUUUAAGAGGUAAGGCUGGCAAUUCUUCUGUGCCAAUUUCCCAGGUUAACCAUGGCAGGUGUGUUAACCAAAGCUCCAUUUUCAAACAUAGAUGACAGGCAUAAAGAUGGAAGGCCAAGGAUUCUAGAUGUCAGGAGCAGGGAACAGAAAAAGUUUGACCUCAAUUGCAAUGCUGAGUUAUUGUACCAAUCCUGGGCUCAUUGUGUUAAGAUUCUUUUUUGUAAGCUCUCUUUUCUGUUUCUUGCAGACAGAUACACCCCAGUGUUCAAUUUCUUGCCCAAGGCCUAGCAAGGAAAUGGUGGAGUUGGGAUUUUAACCCAAGUUAUUCAAAAUUAUGUUAUUAGCUACUUGUGAUAUAGAUAAUGUCCCCGAUGGGAACUCCUGGCAAAAAGUUGCUAGCUCUUGGAAUUUUCCGAGUGGUAAGGAUGACAGGAUCAUGCUUUGAUUUAACGAAGUCAUUCUCAGAGAGCCACUAGAACCAGAAUGAGGACUAGUCAGGAGAAGUAGCCCACCUUGAUUCAAAGCUUGGAAUGUUUACUUUUAGCUGCCCCUAUCUUCUCUGAACAACAGAGAAAGUGUGGAAACUGAAUUGAUCGUCAAUCUGUAAUGGUUUAACUUAUUGUAUCUGCAUAAAACCCCUUAAAUGGCCCCAUAACUCCAAAAUGAUGACAUUCAGUGAACCUUGGAGUUGAUAUAUAUAGUCACAUGCUGGAAGGGUAAAGACCCACAACUCCAAGGCAUAGAGAGAGACUCCAGCACUUGGACACUUAUAGACUUUGUCCUACCUUUCAUCUGGCUGCUCACUUAUCUCCCUUAGAACAAACCAGGAACUGCAUGUGGAGUGCCUCCUUGUAUUUUGUGAGACCUCCUGGUUGUGGUAAGUCUUCAUUUCUUAAUUGUCAGAAGUAUAGCUGGCCUGGCACUUGUUAUUAUCUUAAGUAGGAACAUUCUGUGAGGCUAAGUCCCUUAAUUGUAGAGUGCAGUGCUAAUUCCAGGCAAAAAAGGACAGAACUGGACUGUGGUUUUGGACACUGAGUAUCAAAGAGUUAGGGAAUUCAUACGGGGAAAUUUUCCCAUAUAAAUGGUGUUAGGAAUGACAUCAGAGGAAAUAACCCAACCCUACUACCUCACUUUCUUUCUUUCCAUAUGCUGAAACUAUACAGGGUAUAUUUUGUUAUAAUGCACACAUGCUGUCCCAGGAUGCUUACCUCUCUUUGUAUCCACAGUAAAAGGAACCUUAGAUUAAAAAUAAGUCUAUGUACCUUUAUUCCUACACUCAGGCUGUUCAUGAUGCAGAGGAGGAACUGGUUCAACGUCUUGGCCUGCUGACAUUUUUGUCUGAGCUAAUAAUAUUUUCCCCCAUUUUCCAAUGGUCAAAAGAAAACUGUUAAAGAAUAUUUUGUGGCUAGGAAAAAAUUUUUAUGAAUUUAAAUUCAAUUUCAUUGAUCCUCAAGGUAAUUAUACUGGAAUGCAGCCAUAGCCAAUCACUUCAAGUGUUGUCUGUGGCAACCUUUAUGCUAUAACCUCAGAACUGAAUAGCUACAACAGAGAUUAUACAACUCAUGGAGCUUAAGGUAUUACUAACUGUUGAGAGUGUGGGUCUGGGAAGGAUUAGGCAAAUGGACAAACUAUUGUCGAUAUAGGGAAGAUUUCCCCACAUAGAGGAAUAUCCAAAGCUGAGUGUUCUCAAUGGUUUUUUCCUUUAAAAGUAGAUUUUUCUAAAAAUGGUGCAAGAUUGGGACAGGGCAUAGUUUUGAGACAGCUCAGGGGGACCCACCUGGACAUUGGACAGAUAGAAAGCACUGUUAAAUUCUACUAAAAGCAAUGUUGAAAUGAAUAAUAAUUUUUCAAUAUAUAUUUAUAAACACUCUUUCUGAUGAGCAUUUUCUAGUAAGUGAGCAGAGACUUGUUUACAAGAUAGUCUAAGUUCCUUACAGUUGAGGCCACCUAGAGAAAAAGGACUGCCAGCCUAAUAGCCAACUGGUCUACCCUUAUGUCAGCACCAGGAGUCUUCAACACUCUACAAAUAUCUUGAGACAGGAAUUUGCUGCUGCUCAUCUCAGCUAGCAAAGGCACAGUCCAUGCCAGGACUGUUUGAAAAUGUUUGUGCCAGAUUUUUUUCCUUCUUUCUUUCCUUUAAAAAAAAAUGUUUCUGCUUUCAUGAACCAUUUCUUCUUUGAACAUGGGGUUAUCACUUCCUCUAGUGUAGGGAAUUACUUUGAUGGAUGGCAUGGCCAUUAAGUGUUCAAAACACAAGUCUACAUGAUGUGAUCAAAAGAUUGACAUACACAACUUCUCAGGCUGUAUAGGCAGUUUGCUUAGACUCUUUGAGUGAGUUGUUUGGGAGACACGCCCUACCUACCUCCUGUAGUGUUAUAACACCAAGUUCAAUUGAGACCCUACCGUGGUCUUCCUUUGCCUACAUUGACUAGUGCUGGUUGAGAUAGUAACACGAAGAAAGCAGAGACAGCAGAAGACAGUGAAAGGUGACAAUGGAAAAAGAUAGCAGUGUCUAUGUAUGUAUCUUGAGUAAGCAGCCUACAGAGCAGGGCAGUGGCUUCACAGUGACUGAAACCUACAGUCACUGAAGACCCUGCAGAUAGUGCUUAAACUCAACACUGCCCGGUACAGCCCGGUACUGCCCGGUACUGCCCGGUACUGCCCGGCUCCCAAUCCCCUGUGCUGGGUUCCUUUCUUCUGAUCCCCGGGCCCUGGCUUCCCAGUGUAAAGUAUUGAUAGCUGCUUCUUGCCUACUGGGGAAAUGAUAUCGUGGAGAAGACUUUAUCCUGGUUGCUGGACAGCUAAGGAAAUGGUUGCCCAGGGAGGCCCAGGAUCUAGCUGUAGGCAGCACCCCAGGCCUGAGUCUUUUUGGAAGUACUAUAUGGGAUGACUGAAGCAGACAGUUUGCCGAUUCUCUUCGGGGAUCCUGUCUCUUGGGGUCCUGUCCCUGUCAGAGUGGAUCCUGAAGUUGAGUGAUUACAGUUGUACCCAGCACUUGGUUCCCAGUGGAUCUCUGGGUUCCCCCAUUCUAAGCAGUAUUAGGUGCUCCAGAGUGUCCAGGGCAGGGAGAAGGAGGUGGGAGUAGAGAGAUGAUAGGAGUUGAUAAAAGGCUGUAAAGAGCCAGAGAACAGAACCUCAGGCUAUGGUCACCAGAAGAAUUCCUAGGGCUGUCCAGUCUUCAGGGCCAAGGGUUACAGCUCUGGGACUGACAGCUAUCAUCCUGGCUGAGGUCAAGGGUCCCCAGUCCAGUAGGUUACUGACGGUCGUUCCCUCCAGACAAACACUAAGGGUAGCCAGAGACCAGCAUAUGAAAAGGUUUUUGUGCACUCACAGUUUAUAUCCAGGCGAUCAAAAAGACCCCGUCUAGCUGAAUGGUGACAGUUUGGGCCAUUUGUUAAGUUUAGUGAUCUUAGCCUUGUGAAUCUGCUUUGUAACUUAUGUGUGAGAGACGGAACUGCAUAUUUCCAUAUCUUUGAAUUCCACACAAAUGGAGAGAACGCAUCAAGACUUUUUUUUUUUUUUAAUUUUCUGGUGCCAGGUUCAGAACCUAUAACUCUGUACAUGAGGAACACAUGGUCUGAUGCUGAACUAAACUCCAUGAAUUCUUUUAAGUGGUCUAAGGAGACUCCUGUGAAGAUGUCAUUCAACCCCCCAAAAGUGUCUCAACCCACAGCUUGAGAACAACUGAUCUACAAUGAACCAAGAAUGGCCUCUCAAGGAUGGUACCAAGGGUAAACUCUGCAGCUUUGAAAGGGUAGCACUUUUGGGAGUCAGCAAGCCAAACCACUGAUCUCAGACCUAAGGGCACACCAGCAAUGACGGGGUGACCGCUGGAGAUUCAGAAGGGCGGGCGCAGCUACGGCUUUGGAUUUACUUCGUAAGUCAAGCAUCCACCUCCGAGUGACGAGUAUAAACAAUGCUAUAGACAAGGAGAGAAGAAACUAGAAUGCUCCUUCGGGGCUCUAUUAUCAGUUUAAAUGUGUGGUUCAAAAGUCAGCGUUUCCCGGCGUGCGGAGAGAAGUUGGGCGUGAAUGUGCUCGGUAGGCUUCAUACAUGAUGCAAGGGCAGCAGCCUGGGAAAUCCUAGAGUCUGGCCUCCGAGGUCCUGCGGCUCCGAUCCUGAGGUCCCACAGGGCAGUGAUUUAGUUCCUCCUCCCCAUGCCGGAGCCACUUGUUGACUGUAAGCUCAACAGAAGUCACUGUUUGUAAGCUCGGCUUCAGAGUCCCCCGAGAGAGCAGCCAGCUGGCAGCCGUGCAGAAAGCAGUAAACACAUUUGACUUUUCUACAUUGACGAUGCCACGUAUGUGGUGUUCAAGGAGACUGGAUCUCUGUGUCAAGGCAGCAGGGUCACGGAGGCUUAGCGUCAAGCCCAGUUCCUGCUCCGUUUUACUGUGUACAUUGAUCCAAAGGUAGGAACUAGCUAGACGCAGCAUUUGCCCAGACCCUAGUUCCAACCCCUGGAACAGGAAAAAUAGAAAUAUCUUUAGAGAUCGUCUCUUCAGGACAGCUCUCUGGGCCACCUUGAUGCUGGAAGAAUAAUGAGCAGAGAUUAGCGGAUCUGAAGCAGGUUCCGGGGCUGAGCUCUGAGCCUGCCCCUGACUCGGAGAGAUCAUACCCACACGUCUUCUCCUCCAUGUAGCGUGUGGCAACUUAGUGGCAGUGAAAUUCAUUGUGCGUAAUGGAGUGAUUGAUGAAUGAUUUCAAAUAUGGAGAAAGAUGUACUCAGUAAGUCAAGCAGACGCCUCCAAGAGGAGAUAACUGGGAAUAAAAACAAUUACAUGGUUAAACGGGAAAAAUUUAAA